rnacentral:rRNA from 1 species
AUUGAACGCUGGCGGCAUGCCUUACACAUGCAAGUCGAACGGCAGCACGGGCUUCGGUCUGGUGGCGAGUGGCGAACGGGUGAGUAAUGUAUCGGAACGUACCUUUCAGUGGGGGAUAACGUAGCGAAAGUUACGCUAAUACCGCAUAUUCGGUAAGCAGGAAAGCAGGGGAUCGCAAAACCUUGCGCUGAUUGAGCGGCCGAUAUCAGAUUAGCUAGUUGGUGAGGUAAAGGCUCACCAAGGCGACGAUCUGUAGCGGGUCUGAGAGGAUGAUCCGCCACACUGGAACUGAGACACGGUCCAGACUCCUACGGGAGGCAGCAGUGGGGAAUUUUGGACAAUGGGGGCAACCCUGAUCCAGCCAUGCCGCGUGAGUGAAGAAGGCCUUCGGGUUGUAAAGCUCUUUCGGCCGGGAAGAAAUCGCAUAGGUUAAUACCCUGUGUGGAUGACGGUACCGGAAUAAGAAGCACCGGCUAACUACGUGCCAGCCGCCGCAGUAA